UGUAAAAUACAUUCUUUAGCACACAGCUUAGCCUAUCCAAUCCCAAGGCAUAAUGCCAUGAAUACGAAUCCCUCUUUGUCCUCAGUCUAUUUGCCUUCCUGGGGCCCACAGAUGCCCUUCUAAUGGCAGCCCUCCAGAUUGCACCUCUUCUAAGUGCCCACUGCUUGGGAAACCAGGAAUUAUUAGCCUGCUUUACUGUAUGUACCUCGCAACCUAAUUAAAAUCUACACCUUCAAUGUUUCAUUGCAGGAAGCACUAUUGCAAGAAUGACUAUCUGUUCUAACAAGCUCAACUCGGUGAAGGGUUUGGAUUUUUGUGGGAAUGGCAUUGAAGUUAAUCAUGGGUCAUUGUGGCCAAACUCUGAAGAAUUUAUAUUUAUUCCACAAGAUUCUUCUGUCUCCUGCUAACAUAGCAUGCAUCUGCAACCUUUGGAUGGAGAUUAUAGUUAAACAGGAAAAAAAUAUAGCCUAGUAUAGUCCUGCCUUGCAACUAUAUUAAGCCAUAACUGGAGGAAUGAAUCCAAUCAGGCCGCGUUAGACUACACAUUUCAGGAAAAAUGUGGUGGAGAUGGUUCUGGAUGACUCACUCUUAAUUUCUUCUGGCUCAGAAAAACUGGUAUUGAGAUUUUGUUUCAAAUGUCCUACAUGAUGAGAUGAAGUAAAGUGAACAACAUGGGCAUUGUGAUGUUGUGUUAAGCUACUGCUGACCUUCCGACAAUGUGUCUGCUUCCAGACAUCUGCUUCCAGACUGCAAAUGAUAGCAGGUCACUGGAUUCAAAGAACAAGAAAUGAUAUAAACAAAUGGACUUCAAGGCCAGAGCAGCAUGGUCUCCAGAAUUUCCCAGCACUACAGUGGCCUCAGUGACCUGUACUUCAAAGCAAGGAAGAUGCUGAAUUAUCCUUUUGUACCGUCUUUUGUUCUUUCACAAUUGGUUGUAGAAAGUGCAGCCCUCAGCUUCAGACACUGAAACCCAAUGAAUCAAACAUAAUGAGUCUGACAUGUCAUUGAAUAAAACGCAGGAAAAAUGCUGUGGGUUCCACACCAUUGCCUCUAUUAAA